rnacentral:rRNA from 1 species
UACAGAGGUCUCAAGCGUUGUUCGGAUUCAUUGGGCGUAAAGGGUGCGUAGGCGGCGCGGUAAGUCGGGUGUGAAAUCUCGGGGCUUAACUCCGAAACUGCAUUCGAUACUGCCGUGCUUGAGGACUGGAGAGAAGACUGGAAUUUACGGUGUAGCGGUGAAAUGCGUAGAUAUCGUAAGGAAGACCAGUGGCGAAGGCGGGUCUCUGGACAGUUCCUGACGCUGAGGCACGAAGGUCAGGGGAGCAAACGGG